AAAAUACAAUGAUUGAAGCUGCAUUAAUAUUGUCAGAUGUAGGACUAGUUGCAAAUCCUCCAGGUGAUGGAGCAGGGCUUUCCUCACUUGGUAAUGGAGCUCCGACUGGGAUGCCAAGAUCUGAGCAAGUGGUAGAUGGUGGAAACUCCAAACUACAAGCAGAAGGAAGUUUAAGUGCCUUAUCGACAUCAAUAUUGAACCCA
rnacentral:misc_RNA from 1 species